GACGUAGGAUGCAAGCGUUGUCCGGAUUUAUUGGGCGUAAAGAGUUCGUAGGUGGUUUGUUAAGUCUGGUGUUAAAGAUCGGGGCCCAACCCCGGGACAGCACUGGAUACUGGCAGACUGGAGUGCAGUAGAGGCAAGCGGAAUUCCCAGUGUAGCGGUGAAAUGCGUAGAUAUUGGGAAGAACACCGGUGGCGUAGGCGGCUUGCUGGGCUGUAACUGACACUGAGGAACGAAAGCCAGGGUAGCGAAUGGG
rnacentral:rRNA from 1 species